GGUUACAGCUGUGAAACAGGAAUAGUUUUUUAACAGAAGUUUAAUGACUAGUUUCUGUGACAGCUACAACCUGCUAACUGCUAACCUGCUAAAGAUGAAAUAUAGUGAGUGGCACAGUGCUGGUUGGAUACUGAGCACACACAUGUUCCUAGGUAUGGAGUGGAAAUCAUUUUAACACAAUUUUGGUUUGAAUGUAAAAAUACAAGUAGCUCAGACUUGUACAUUGUGACAUAAACUGCUUUGAGACCCCAGCUUCUGUAAUUCAUUAAAAUUCUUUGACUCCACUUGCUUAGUAGAAGUUGGAGGGAAAACUUGUAAUUAUAUUUUAUUAACAAGUCUGCUUACUUUUCUCCAACUCUUCUAGCAUGUGAGACAAUGUAAUACAAAAUUAAAGUGUUGAAUGGCUAAAAUGCACCCCUCACCUUUUGGGGGGAGUGUAAAACUGUGAAGUUUGAGCAUCCAAGAUCUGUAAUUCUUCUCUGAGGUGAUUAAUGUUAUAAAAAGACAUUUUAAGACUUACUCAAUUCUUCUUCCUCCUGACAUCCUAGGUGUAACCAGUCUGAGUACUUCUGCACUAGUAUGACCAGCUAGCAUCUUGCUAUAGUAACAAAGAAAAGCAUGAAAAUGCCUUUUGGGACUGAAAGUUUAGCAUUGUGGUCACAGUGAAAAUGGAGCCAUUUGUGAGUAUUUAACCCUGUAGUGUUAAAACAGGUUAACUACUUACCAAGCAACAAUAACACUGUAAACUUGCAACUUGUGCCAAGGCCUAGAAGGAAGAAGACCAGAAGCAGCUGGUAAGCUAAAGUGACUUCACUGAGCAGCUGCUAAGGGAGAAGAACUGCAAAAAGGAAGCAUUGGGCUCCUAGGAAGAGGUAGUAGGUUGCAUAGUUUUAGGGCAGGGAUUUUGCUCACAAGGAGGUAACUAUACAACCUGCUGCCUUUCUUAGGGCUUUAUUAUAACACCAGGACUGUUCUGGCUCCACCCUAACCUCUGCAGCUUUGGUAUGUAAAGACAAGCUAUUUCUAAGCAUAUGAAACCACUAUUGUCAGCAGACUUGGUACCAAACUCAAGUGUAAUGCUGCUAGCUGGAAUUCAGUGUUUCCAGCUGCUGGGAAAUGCUGCUUUUGGGGGUGAUCCUGCCAUUUUGGAGACAUUGGAUUGUGAUAUCCAUAGGUUGUGAUAUGUUAAGAGGCUGUGUUUGGAAGUCACCUCCUUCUAGAAUAAGAUUUGAGUUCCCUGCAGUUGGGAUUGAGGUGGUAUGGACUUGUAAACUGAACAUUAAGGUACUAAUACUGUGUUCUUAAUCAGGUAGCUGAAUUAUAUCUUCCUUUGGCUUUGUGCAUUUCAAGUGACAAAAUUGAAGUUUUCCUUUCCCAGCAGGAUCAGCUUACAGCUUGCCUGAAACUGGUCAUUUUUCAGCAGGUACAGGCACUCCUAAUAAAAAAGCUCUUGGUCAUGGAUUAUUUGCAGCCUCACAGAAGGGAAGUUUUCAGUCAAAAUGAACAAUUGCAUGGCUUGUCUCAUGAAAUUAAUUAUAUGUUAAAAAGUACCGCUACAGCAAUAGUUCUGGUAGGGCUUCAGCAGGAUACCCUCUGCAAUGAGAUACAGAAACUUUAAGUGCUGAGCAUCUUGUAUGGAGUUAACCUUAUGCCUACACUGGCCACUAUUUAAACUUGACAAUGAGACAGAAUUGUAGGUUAUAAACAUGCUAAAUGUGCUUAUAUUGAACAUCCUGUAUGAAUUUAAUUGUAUGUGUUUGAUUUAGUUAAUAAAAUACAGUAUUCUAUGCAA